rnacentral:lncRNA from 1 species
AGGAGUUGAACUUGGAGGGGUUCAUAACACAUGAAGUAAACUGUGAAGAUAUUAACAAAGCAUUUGACUUACUUGAAGCAGGCAAAACGCUGCGUUGUAUCAUUUGGAUGGACAAAUAAUCCUGUUAUUUUAAUAAGCUUUCUACAUGUUUGCCCUAUGACAUAUUUAAUAAAUUGAUGUCCUAUUUAUUGCUACUAUUUUUACUAAAAAUGAGCUAAAUACUUUUGUAUCAUUGUAUGCAUCUCGUUUCGUUUCACAUAUUUGAAUCUGGAAAAUGUAUCUUUAAUUAUGUUCUAGUUCUAUGAAUGAGAGUUAUGCUUGUUUGGAUGGUUGUUACCUUUUUAAAAAAAAAUAAUAGGUCUAACUUCUACCCUAACUUACUUUUCGGUUUUACUCUUUAAAUUGUUUAUGUGUAACAUUAUAUAACGACUGAAAAUGAUAUAAUCUAUUCAAAUGUUACAAUAUAAAGUAAUGCUUAAUAAUUACCCCCAAAAACAAUCUUUAAAUUAAAGAGAAUCUUGUUCUGAUUUAAAAUAAGAUCAUAAUCUACGACUAGUCAACUACGCAUAUUACUUUCAUUGACAACGAUGAGAAUUAAACAAUGUGUCACAUGGCUGAUAUUUGUAGUAUAUUUACUUGGUUCAACAACAAUGUAUACUUCUCUUUCUUAAAAAUAUAAAUAAAUAAAUUAGGGUAGAUGAAGGGGAUCAAUUAGCACUGAAUAGCUAAUUGUUAUUUUUGGUGUAGUGGUUUGUUUUUAAGUAUAUUGUAAGUAAAAUUUGAAAUUUUUAUACUAACUUACUCAUGAGGUUGAGUUUCCAUAAUAGUAAUACAAACGCAGCUCUAAGUCAUUUUCAAUUAAGUUAUUAAUUUAAUAUAAUUAACGAUCAUCACAUUGUAUAGACGAUUUCUUUUACAAAAUGAUUAAUCACGUUUUACUACUUUUGGUCCUCUUUUUUUUCUAUGUCCCCUCUCUCUUUCCAAAAUACUUUUUAGAAAGACAGAUACUAACGCAUUAUAUGUUUGUAUGUUUUUUCUUUCCAAAUAAGGAAUGAUUUAUAGUAUAUGAGAUUACUCAAUAAAACAAAGUGAAUCCUCUCCUUUUCAAAUUUGAGGUCCCAUCUAGAUGAUUUGAGUCAAGAAGGAAUCAAACUGGGUACUAAGGAUAAAAUCUUGUAAAUUAGGUUAAUUAAUCGACUAUUCGUUGCAUAUAUUAAGUGAUCCAAUAAAAUGUCUUUAUUUGUUCGAUUUGUGUUAUAUCCACUAAAAGAAAUAAAAAUGAAAUAGCAAUAUUAGGCCCCCGAAUAAACAUGUAGCCUAUGAAAGUUGUAAUUUGAUCACCUUACUAUAACAUUUUGAAGUUAAUAAAUUAUUCUUGUACGUAAUAACAAUUUAACAGGUCGUGAUAAUUUAUUUAUUUUUAAUUAAAGAACCCAAUGGGUCAUUUUAUUGAAAUGAAUCGAAAGAGAUUGGUAUAUGCAAAUUCUACAGUCAUAUUUUUGUCAGUAAGCUUAUUUCAAAUUUCAAUGCUAUACACGUAUAAAUAAAAUAUUUUGAAUAUGAAAUUUUAUAAUCUCCGUCCCAAAAUAAGUGUCAAUUAUACAACAAAAAAAUUAUCUCAAAAUAAGUGUCACUUUAUGAAUUCAAGUAAAAAAUUAGUUUGUUUUUUCAAUUAAACUUUAUAGGGAUAAGGGUUUGAAAAAUACCCCAACUUUGGUCGGAUUUGCUGUUGCGAUACUAAACUUUCAUAAGGACCUAUUACCUCCCUAGACUAUUUAAUACCGUAUUUUAAACAUAUAUAUUUGCCCACGUGGACAUAAAAAAUAAUGCAAAAUUAUAAAUAGUAAUGUGUCCACGUGGGCACAUAUAUACCUUUAAAAUNNNNNNNNNNNNNNNNNNNNNNNNNNNNNNNNNNNNNNNNNNNNNNNNNNNNNNNNNNNNNNNNNNNNNNNNNNNNNNNNNNNNNNNNNNNNNNNNNNNNNNNNNNNNNNNNNNNNNNNUAACUUUGGUCGAAUUUGUUGUUGCGAUACUAAACUUUCAUGAGGACCUAUUACCUACCUAGACUAUUUAAUACCGUAUUUUUUACCCCCUGAACUAUUUAAUAGUGUAUUUUAAAGGUAUAUGUGUGUCCACGUGGACACAUUACUAUUUACAAUUUUGCAUUAUUUUUUAUGUCCACGUGGACAAAUAUAUAUGUUUAAAAUACGGUAUUAAAUAGUCUAGGUAGGUAAUAGGUCCUCAUGAAAGUUUAGUAUCGCAACAGCAAAUCCGACCAAAGUUGAGAUAUUUUUCAGAUCCUUAUCCCAACUUUAUACUUUGUCUUCUUAAUUGUAUGCAUCGCAAGAGAUAUAUAUAUUAUAGUUUAAUAAACUACACAUCAUAUUUAUUAAUUUCUUAAUUAUUAAUGGACGUAAUUUUUAUUAAAAUCACACUUAUUUUGAGAUGGAUCAAAAGAUCAAACUAUAUAUAUCUCCAAAACAUUCAUGUUGAUAUAUAAUGGUAGGGUACUGGAAACUGGAAAGACUGUAAUACUUGGAAUAGAGAUGCAUGGCACACCGUUAAGCAUUAAUCCUUAUGAGUUAGCGGCUGGAAAAACUAUCACAGGAUCCAUGUUUGGUGGUGUCAAAGCUAAAGUUGACAUUCCCUUAUUUGCUAAUCAAUAUUUGAAUAAAUGUAAGUUAAUUUCCUUGUACUUUUUGUUAUUUUAUUACACCUUUUCAAUUCAAUGAUUCUAAAUUUAGUUUAUCAUUGUGAAUAUUAUAUACUAAAAAGGUCUAACGAACCUAGCUACCACAUAUAUAAUUCCAAAAGGUUCAUGACACUUUUUGGUCUCUCAAUUAUUGAUAAACUCUGAUUUAAUCCUUGUCAUGACAUUUAAUCGAUUAAGAAUAUCUAACCUUUUUGAAUUAAUUGAAUGUGCAUUUUAUCUGCUUGCCGUUUGUGAAUAUUCACAUAAGUUUAUUUUAAUUACCAAUUGUUUCAUCAAUUAAGUUUCAAUGUGUUAUAUAUGUUACGAUGGUAUUGUAGUCGUCAUGUAUAUAAGGAUUAAAUUUAGAAUUUACUAACGAGGGGCCAAAAGUAUUAUUAAUCCUAUGUCAAAUUAAUUUAUAAGUAGUUGAUGCUUUGUUUUUUGGCAUAUUGGGCAGGAUUUGAACUUGGAGGGAUUCAUAACACAUGAAGGUAACUUUGAAGAUAUUAACAAAGCAUUUGACUUACUUGAAGCUGGCAAAACGCUGCGUUGUAUCAUUUGGAUGGGCAAAUAAUCCUGUUAAUUUAACCUUUCUAUCUUGUGUGCUUUGGGAUAUUUAGUAAAUUGAUGUUCUACUUAUUGCUAUUAUUUAAUUUACUAAAAAGGAGCUAAAUACUUUUGUAUCUAUCUCGUUUCAUUUCAGAGAUUUGAAUCUGGAAAAAAAGUAUCUUUAAUUUAAUUCUAGUUCUAUGAAUGAGAGUUAUGCUUGUUUGGAUGGUUG